rnacentral:tRNA from 1 species
GGGAGCGACCGGACUGGAGCUGGAUAGGCGGGCGGAAAGGGCAUCUCGGGGCAACGCGGCCCGUUUCCGCGUCCGUAUCCGCGGCCGCGGCGGCGAAAGUUUUUCCGAAAUUGUCCUUGCAUCGCCGUCCGAGUUCCCGUAUAGUACUUCUUCGCACGGGGGCGUAGCUCAGCUGGGAGAGCGCUUGACUGGCAGUCAAGAGGUCAGGGGUUCGAUCCCCCUCGUCUCCACC